rnacentral:tRNA from 1 species
UAUUAGGGUGGCAGAGCCCGGAAAUUGCGUAAGACUUAAAACCUUGUUUUCAGAGGUUCAAAUCCUCUCCCUAAUAG